rnacentral:rRNA from 1 species
CAGCCGCCGGGUAAUACGAAGGGGGCUAGCGUUGCUCGGAAUCACUGGGCGUAAAGGGUGCGUAGGCGGGUCUUUAAGUCAGGGGUGAAAUCCUGGAGCUCAACUCCAGAACUGCCUUUGAUACUGGAGAUCUUGAGUUCGGGAGAGGUGAGUGGAACUGCGAGUGUAGAGGUGAAAUUCGUAGAUACUCGCAAGAACACCAGUGGCGAAGGCGGCUCACUGGCCCGAUACUGACGCUGAGGCACGAAAGCGUGGGGAGCAAACAGGAUUAGAUACCCGUGUAGUCCCUGUCUCUUAUACA